GACGAACGCUGGCGGCGUGCUUAACACAUGCAAGUCGAACGGAAAGGCCCUUCGGGGUACUCGAGUGGCGAACGGGUGAGUAACACGUGGGUGAUCUGCCCUGCACUUUGGGAUAAGCCUGGGAAACUGGGUCUAAUACCGAAUAGGACCACGCGCUUCAUGGUGUGUGGUGGAAAGCUUUUGCGGUGGGGGAUGGGCCCGCGGCCUAUCAGCUUGUUGGUGGGGUAAUGGCCUACCAAGGCGACGACGGGUAGCCGGCCUGAGAGGGUGACCGGCCACACUGGGACUGAGAUACGGCCCAGACUCCUACGGGAGGCAGCAGUGGGGAAUAUUGCACAAUGGGCGCAAGCCUGAUGCAGCGACGCCGCGUGAGGGAUGACGGCCUUCGGGUUGUAAACCUCUUUCAAUAGGGACGAAGCGCAAGUGACGGUACCUAUAGAAGAAGCACCGGCCAACUACGUG
rnacentral:rRNA from 1 species